UCCAGAGUGGCUUAGUGGUUUUGAGUAUUGGGACUAGGACUCCGGAGACCUGGGUUCGAAUCCCAGCUCGGGCA